UGGGGAAUCUUGCGCAAUGGGCGAAAGCCUGACGCAGCGACGCCGCGUGGGGGAAGAAGGCCUUCGGGUUGUAAACCUCUUUCAGCAGGGACGAAGCCACUCGGGUGAAUAGCCCAGAGGGUGACGGUACCUGCAGAAGAAGCCCCGGCUAACUACGUGCCAGCAGCCGCGGUAAUACGUAGGGGGCAAGCGUUGUCCGGAUUUAUUGGGCGUAAAGAGCGUGUAGGCGGCCAGGCAGGUCCGUUGUGAAAACUGGAGGCUUAACCUUCAGACGUCGAUGGAAACCGUCUGGCUAGAGUCCGGAAGAGGAGAGUGGAAUUCCUGGUGUAGCGGUGAAAUGCGCAGAUAUCAGGAAGAACACCCGUGGCUAAGGCGGCUCUCUAGUACGGUACUGACGCUGAGACGCGAAAGCGUGGGGAGCGAACAGG
rnacentral:rRNA from 1 species